rnacentral:rRNA from 1 species
UACGGGGGGGCGAAGCGUUGUUCGGAAUUACUGGGCGUAAAGGGCUCGUAGGCGGCCAACUAAGUCCGACGUGAAAUCCCAAGGCUUAACCUUGGAACUGCGUCGGAUACUGGAUGGCUUGAAUUCGGGAGAGGGAUGCAGAAUUCCAGGUGUAGCGGUGAAAUGCGUAGAUAUCUGGAGGAAUACCGGUGGCGAAGGCGGCAUCCUGGACCGACAUUGACGCUGAGGAGCGAAAGCUAGGGGAGCAAACGGG